GAUGAAGAACGUAGCGAAAUGCGAUAAGUAAUGUGAAUUGCAGAAUUCAGUGAAUCAUCGAAACUUUGAACGCACAUUGCGCCCGGUAGUAUUCUGCCGGGCAUGCCUGUUCGAGCGUCAUUUCAACCAUCAAGCCCCAGCGCUUGUGUUGGGGGCCUGCGGCUGCCGCAGCCCCCUAAAAGCAGUGGCGGGCUCGCUAUCACACCGAGUGCAGUAGUUCAUCUUCUCUCCGGUCUUGUGAGGCGGGUUCCGGCCGUGAAACACCCCACUACAUUCAAGGUUGACCUCGGAUCAGGUAGGAAUACCCGCUGAACUUAAGCAUAUCAAUAAGCGGAGGA
rnacentral:misc_RNA from 1 species